CGAGGGAAAAGCGCAUUUUGUGCUUGCACAUAGUGGACGUCCACCGGCUCUCGUGAGAGUAACGCGUAUCCCCCCUCCCCUUUUGUGGGGGAAUACCCGCCAAAGGGCACACUUAUACCGCUUUCUCCUCCAAGACCGCACCAGAUUUGAAGUUGACUUUUAUCCCCUAUGGAUGGGGAUGCGUCAGAUUAGCUUGGUCGCGGGAUCACGGCCCCCCGAGGCCACAUAUUAUAAGGGUUCUAGAGAGGAUUGUCCCCCAUAUUGGAUCUAAUACACGCUCCAAUCUCCCACGGGAGGCAACAGUGUGAAAUAUUGGUCAAUGGGCGAGAGCCUGACCCUGCCUUAUAGCGUGCAGGAUAACGGCCCCAUGGGUUGUAAACGGCUUUUGUAUGUGGAUAAAGUACUUCACGUGUGAUUGUUUGCUGGUACCAUACAAUUAAGGACCGGCUAAUUCCGUGCCGCCACCCGCGGUAAUACUGAAGGUCCGGGCGUUGUCCAAUUUUUUGGUUUAAAGGGAGCGUAGCCCGGAGAUUAAGUGUGUUGUGAAAUGUAGACGCUCAACGUCUGACUUGCAGCGCAUACUGGUUCCUUGAGUACGCACAACGUUGGCGGAAUUCGUCGUGUAGCGGUGAAAUGCUUAGAUAUGACGAAGAACUCCGAUUGCGAAGGCAGCUGACGGGAGCGCAACUGACGCUUAAGCUCGAAGGUGCGGGUAUCGAACAGGAUUAGAUACCCUGGUAGUCCGCACAGUAAACGAUGGAUGCCCGCUGUUGGUACCUGGUAUCAGCGGCUAAGCGAAAGCAUUAAGCAUCCCACCUGGGGAGUACGCCGGCAACGGUGAAACUCAAAGGAAUUGACGGGGGCCCGCACAAGCGGAGGAACAUGUGGUUUAAUUCGAUGAUACGCGAGGAACCUUACCCGGGCUUGAAUUGCAGAGGAAGGAUUUAGAGAUAAUGACGCCCUUCGGGGCCUCUGUGAAGGUGCUGCAUGGUUGUCGUCAGCUCGUGCCGUGAGGUGUCGGCUUAAGUGCCAUAACGAGCGCAACCCCUCUCUUCAGUUGCCAUCAGGUGAUGCUGGGCACUCUGGAGACACUGCCACCGUAAGGUGUGAGGAAGGUGGGGAUGACGUCAAAUCAGCACGGCCCUUACGUCCGGGGCUACACACGUGUUACAAUGGCCGGUACAGAGGGAUGGUGUAAUGCAAAUUGCAUCAAAUCUUGAAAGCCGGUCCCAGUUCGGACUGGGGUCUGCAACCCGACCCCACGAAGCUGGAUUCGCUAGUAAUCGCGCAUCAGCCAUGGCGCGGUGAAUACGUUCCCGGGCCU
rnacentral:rRNA from 1 species